AUUGAACGCUGGCGGCAGGCUUAACACAUGCAAGUCGAGCGAGCGGCGGACGGGUGAGUAAUGUCUGGGACACCGCCUGAUGGAGGGGGAUAACUACUGGAAACGGUAGCUAAUACCGCAUACCAUCAGAUGUGCCCAGAUGGGCUUGGCUAGUAGGUGGGGUAAAGGCUCACCUAGGCGACGAUCCCUAGCUGGUCUGAGAGGAUGACCAGCCACCCUGGAACGUAGGCACGGUCCAGACGCCUAGGGGAGGCAGCAGUGGGGAAUAUUGCGCAAUGGGGGAAAGCCUGAUGCAGCCAUGCCGCGUGUAUGAAGAAGGCCUUCGGGUUGGAAAGUAGUUUCAGCGGGGAGGCGUUACCCGCAGAAGAAGCACCGGCUAACUCCGUGCCAGCAGCCGCGGUAAUUC
rnacentral:rRNA from 1 species